GAUUAAGAAAUCAUUAUAUGAAACUGAAAUGUAAGCUGAGUAAGUGAUCUCAAGUUCAUGCAGGCACCUGAAAAUAAUUUUGCUCUAUGAAUAUGUAUUUUGGAAAAGAAUGCCAUGAAUAUAACAACCAAACGACUGGGAAAAAAAUUCUAGAAUCUAAAAACAUGUUUGGCCGCCAGUUGACUCUAUGAAUAUGUCCUUUUGGGAACAGAGCAUCACAAAGAAUGCAAGGAUUUUUCUUUUCGGUAAUAAAAACAACAAUUGCAUCUAUAAGUGUGGAUAUUUCCCUUCCUGAUUUGGAUGUUCGCAGAGCAAAAAAUACAUCAGCUUUGUGAUUUGACAUUUUUUAAAAAAUUUAAAGUGUAUAUUUAAUUAAAAUAUCUAAUUAAAAAUAAGCGGAUGAAAUUAAAAAUAAUUUUCUGGUGUAAAAUGCAGAUUAUUUAAUUAAAAAAUUUCGCUUUAAGCUAAAGUGAAUUUUUAAAGUUUUGUUGUACUAAAGAGGAAAAUAUAUAAAGCAAAUCCAACAAUUAUUAAACUAGUCUGUUCUAGAUACAUUAUAAAAAAUAUUUUAUAUAAAAGAGCUUCUUUGGCAAAUAUUUAAAUUGGAUUUGAAAGCUUGAAAAUAUUUAGCAUUAAAACAGCUUUAAGUUGAAAAUCUAAGCCACUAUUUGCUCUGCGUCAUUUCCUUUUAAAUGAAAAAUUAGGCAGAAUCAACACUGGAGCGUACCACAAUUAUUAUACUACAAAUUACUUGAUACCUCAAUUGUCGUGCAAGUGAAUUAUGCUGAAAGAAAAUUACUUUACGAUGAAUGAAUAAAUGCAAUUAAAUGCUUUAUAUUUCAAUAUAGCAGAUAAAUAUUUGAUAUAAUAGUUUUUAUUUUAUUAAAUGAAACCAGAGUUGAUAUUUUCUGGGUAUUGCAUUGUUGUAAUUAUGUAAAAUGUAAUUUUGAUUAUGAAAAAAAGGGUAUGAGAUUGCAUUUAAAACUUGUUUUUAUAUUUUGGCAUAAUGAUCUGAAAAGAAACUUAAAACUAAUAAUAUUUUUCAUUUGCAAGUACAAGCCUUUUUUUCUAGGACUUUUGUGUACACGUCUGAUCACCUCAUUUAGAUGGGGCAUAUAUGCAUGUAUGAACGUAUGAUAUAAAUAAAAGAACUAUAUUUGAAAAGAAAGGA